UACGGGGGGGGUAAGCGUUGUUCGGAAUUACUGGGCGUAAAGGGCUCGUAGGCGGCCAACUAAGUCGGACGUGAAAUCCCUCAGCUUAACUGGGGAACUGCGUCCGAUACUGGAUGGCUUGGAUUUGGGAGAGGGAUGCGGAAUUCCAGGUGUAGCGGUGAAAUGCGUAGAUACCUGGAGGAACACCGGUGGCGAAGGCGGCAUCCUGGACCAAUAUUGACGCUGAGGAGCGAAAGCCAGGGGAGCAAACGGG
rnacentral:rRNA from 1 species